GAACACAGCUCAGCGGUUAAGAGCAUCUGCUUGGUGCGCAGAGGUUCCCAGGCUCCAUUCCUGAUGGUGUCUCCA